rnacentral:lncRNA from 1 species
UUGAUUAGGAUUUAUUUAAGAGUUGAUCAGAAUUUUAUUUAGGAUUUAGGAUUUAAUUAGAAUUGAUUUAUAAUUUAGAAUCUAAUUAGGAUUGGUUUAGGAUUUAGGAUUUCUUUAAGAUUUCUUUAGAAUUUCAUAAGGAUUUUUUUAAGGCUUUUAUAGAUUUUUUUAGAUUUUUUAAGGAUUUUAUAAAGAUUUCUUUAGAAUUUUUUAAAAUUCUAUAAACUUCUUUCAUAUUUAUUUUGAUAUUCUUUAAGGAUUUA